AUAAAGUUUGAUUUUGGCUUGAUUUUUAUUAUAAUAAUAUUUUACAUGUAAAUUUUUGUGUGAACUCCCUUAUUUUUUAAUAAUAUUGGGUUAUUAACUUAAUUCGCAGUAUUUAAUAUUAAUUAUAAAAGUAAUUUUGAUUUGGUAAUUAUUGUUAGUAUAGGAUAAAUUUGUGCCAGCAUCUGCGGUUAUACAAAUUAUGCAAAUAAAACUUUUUGGCUGGUAGUUAUUUGUAUUAUUUUAAAAUUAUUUAUUGAUUUUUUGAGUGAAAUUUAAUAUUUAUUUAUAUUUUAUAAUUUUAUUUGAAGCUACGAAAUUUUUUUUUUAAACUAGGAUUAGAUACCCUAUUAUUGAAAAUGUUAAUAUAAAGGCCUGGGUAGUAUUAGAUAGGGGCUUGAAACCUAAAAAAUUUGGCGGUGCUUUAGUCUAUUUAGAGGAACCUGUUCCAUGAUCGAUAGACCACGAUAAAUUUUACUAGAUCUAAUUUAGUUUAUAUACCGUCGUUAUCAGAAUAUUUUAUAAGAAUUUAAUUUUCUUAAAUUUUAAUUAAAAUUUAUUUCAGAUCAAGGUGUAGCUUAUGAUUUAGAGGAAAUGGGUUACAAUAAAUAUUAAUUUAUACGGAUUUUAAGUUGAAAUAUUUAAUUUAAGGUGGAUUUAAUAGUAAAUUAAUUUAUAUAGAUUUUUUGAUUUUAGCUCUAAAGCAUGUACACAUCGCCCGUCGCUCUUUUUAAUUAAAGAUAAGUCGUAACAUAGUAGAUGUACCGGAAGGUGUGUCUAGAAUG
rnacentral:ncRNA from 1 species